rnacentral:rRNA from 1 species
CCUACGGGAGGCAGCAGUGGGGAAUAUUGGGCAAUGGGCGCAAGCCUGACCCAGCAACGCCGCGUGAAGGAAGAAGGCUUUCGGGUUGUAAACUUCUUUUCUCAGGGACGAAGAAAGUGACGGUACCUGAGGAAUAAGCCACGGCUAACUACGUGCCAGCAGCCGCGGUAAUACGUAGGGAGCGAGCGUUGUCCGGAUUUACUGGGUGUAAAGGGUGCGCAGGCGGCUCUGCAAGUCAGGCGUGAAAGCUAGGGGCUCAACCCCUAAAUUGCGCUUGAAACUGUGGAGCUUGAGUGAAGUAGAGGCAGGCGGAAUUCCCGGUGUAGCGGUGAAAUGCGGAGAGAUCGGGAGGAACACCAGUGGCGAAGGCGGCCUGCUGGGCUUUAACUGACGCUCAGGCACGAAAGCAUGGGUAGCAAACAGGAUUAGAUACCCGGGUAGUC